rnacentral:rRNA from 1 species
UACGUAGGGGGCUAGCGUUGUCCGGAUUUAUUGGGCGUAAAGAGCGUGUAGGCGGCCAGGUAGGUCUGGUGUGAAAACUCGAGGCUUAACCUCGAGGUGUCAUCGGAAACCAUUUGGCUAGAGUCCGGAAGAGGAGAGUGGAAUUCCUGGUGUAGCGGUGAAAUGCGCAGAUAUCAGGAAGAACACCAAUGGCGAAAGCAGCUCUCUGGGACGGUACUGACGCUGAGACGCGAAAGCGUGGGGAGCGAACAGG